rnacentral:lncRNA from 1 species
CUUGGCUUAAACCAGGAACUGGCACCUUUUCGGUGAAGGGCCAGUUGUUAAAUGUUUUAGCUUCAUGGGCCACGUCAGCCGGCUGCAUAUCAUCUCUACGCCCCACCCCAGUGCUUCAGAGAUGUAAAAUUCAUCCUUAGCCUGUGGGCUCCCCAUUGACCCACCUGUGGCUUAAGCACUGACAUAUUCCAUGUCCUGCUGGUGGGGGUGGGGGCUGGAGAUCCAAGGGGCCCGACCGAGAGAACGCCCAGUUGGAGAUGGAAGUGCCUGCCCUCGCCUUGGGCACCCUUGCCCAAGUGUCAUCACUUGCCCUGAGGGCCGCAGCUCUGGGCUGGUACAGUCCAUAGGCUCCGCUCCAUCCUGUUUCCACCCCCGUGUCUUUCUGUGCACCUGCCGCAGGCCAGCCUGAGAGGUCGGUACUGUCUCCCUCUCCCAGGUCGUAGGCUCCAGGACAGUAUCAGCCAGUCCAGUUCAUGGCCACCGUGCCCACUGCUGGUUCAACCUUGCAGGUCUAAGCACCGAGAGAUCAGGACUGUCUACCCUGAGCCAGCUCUGCGUCCCAGCGCAAGCAGGGAGUCAGAAUCCCUCCGUGGCCUGGGCUGGGAGUAGGUGUGCGCAUGUCACAGAACAAGCAAGGCGGUUCCUGGCCAUCCUGUGACCACAGGGUGCACCAGGAGUCGGGCGGUGCUCCAGAGAAGGGGGUGCAUUGUGAGCUUGGCAGCCUGCGUUCCGGGGUCUGCUGCCAUGACAAGUGUUGACCGAAUGGCCGCACCAUUUGGGUUUUGCCAGUCCAGCUUGUUUUUAAAAAUACAGGACAAAACCCAUUAUGUCUUCAAAGUAUCAUGGAUAUUGGUCACCUCUUAUUGGUAUUUUUUUCUUAAGAAACAAAUCAAUAAUCUGUACUCUAAAAGUGCC